AACGCACCUUGCGCUCCUUGGUAUUCCGAGGAGCACGCCUGUUCGAGUAUCGUGAAAUUCUCAAGCCGGAUAGCUUUAUUGUUAUCUCGGUUUGGUUUUGGGCUUUGCCGUCUCCUAAUUUUAUUUGUGAACGGCUGGCCUUAAAAGUAUUAGCUGACCCUCGUUUGUGGGAUUGGUUCUACUCAGCGUGAUAAUCCAUCAUGACCGCUGAGGACAUCUUUCGGGAUGGCCAGUUCUACCUUGGAUCGCUUCUAAUCCCGGCAUUCAGAGUUUAGUUCUCUGGGUCCAUUUCACUUUUCAACUUUGAUCUCGAAUCAGGUGGGACUACCCGCUGAACUUAA
rnacentral:misc_RNA from 1 species